AUUGAACGCUGGCGGCGUGCUUAACACAUGCAAGUCGAUCGGUAACGCGGGGGCAACCCUGGCGACGAGAGGCGGACGGGUGAGGAACGCUUGGGAAUCUGCCUAUCAGCGGGGGACAACCCGGGGAAACUCGGGCUAAUACCGCAUACGCUCUACGGAGGAAAGCCGGGGACCGCAAGGCCUGGCACUGAUAGAUGAGCCCAAGUCGGAUUAGCUAGUUGGCGGGGUAACGGCCCACCAAGGCGACGAUCCGUAGCUGGUCUGAGAGGACGAUCAGCCACACUGGGACUGAGACACGGCCCAGACUCCUACGGGAGGCAGCAGUGGGGAAUAUUGGACAAUGGGGGAAACCCUGAUCCAGCGACGCCGCGUGGUGAAGAAGGCCCGCGGGUUGUAAAGCCCUUUCGGUAGGGACGAAAGCUCUCGACCUAACACGUCGGGAGGUUGACUUAACCUACAAAAGAAGCACCGGCUAACUCUGUGCCAGCAGCCGCCGCCGUAA
rnacentral:rRNA from 1 species